rnacentral:ncRNA from 24 species
UACAAUGAUGAGAGAAAUGUUACAGACCUGUACUGAACUAACAUUUUUUAGUUAUGCAGAGAAACUACUAUUGCCUUUUUGCUGAGA